AGCGUUGAGCAGUGGCAAUAUUGUAACCAAUGAGGUUUAACCAAGGCAUGAUUAUUGCUAAUUGAAAACAUUUCCCAAUACCCCAUGAUGAUGACAUCAAAUAUAGUCAGCAUUGGCAAUUUUUGAUAGUCUCUAUGGAGA